UACGUAGGGUGCAAGCGUUAAUCGGAAUUACUGGGCGUAAAGCGUGCGCAGGCGGUGAUGUAAGACAGUUGUGAAAUCCCCGGGCUCAACCUGGGAAUUGCAUUCGAGACUGCAUUGCUGGAGUACGGAAGAGGAGGGCGGAAUUCCCGGUGUAGCGGUGAAAUGCGUAGAUAUCGGGAGGAACAUCAGUGGCGAAGGCGGCCCUCUGGUCCAGUACUGACACUCAAGUGCGAAAGCGUGGGGAGCAAACAGG
rnacentral:rRNA from 1 species